rfam:Gossypium raimondii Chr08_contig_1178, whole genome shotgun sequence.
AAUAGGAGAAUUGCAAAUUAGAUUUUUCUUCCUAAUUUUUAGCUUUUUCCUCCUUAAAAAAAUUAAAAUCUAACUAAAAAUGCUAAAAAUUAGAAGGAAAAAUCUAAUUUGUCAUUCUCUUAUC